UUCUGUAAUUUUAGGUAUUAGCUAGAGAAGACAUUGAUGAAGCAGUACGUGCAAUAUUAUUUAGAGAAAAUUCUGUUGUGAAGGUUACAGUCCCACCAUUUGUUGAUCCUCUGCUUCAAAGACAGCAAGAGGUGGAUGAAGAGAAGAGAACUGGUCUUCAAUGUGAGACAGGAAAACGACAUUCCAUCAAAGAAUUUGAAGAAAUAGAGAAGGCCAGGCUGCAUGCCAGCUCGCCCUACUUCACUUUCACUUCACAUCGUGUGAUUCCAAAAGAGUGGCAUAAAGCCUCCACAAGAGCCAGGAGUAAAACUUACAAAUACAGUCCUGAAAAGCUCAUCUGUGCAGACAAGAAACAGAAAAGAAAAGAGAAAAAGACCACUGACCUAAGUCAGGCUGCAUUUGAAAGGCAAUUCCUUUCCUCAAAACUCAGCCAGAAGAACAAAGUGGGUGAAAGGAAGGAUCUGGUAAGCAGAGGCCUGGGGCGAGGCUGGCAUGCAGGGCUUUGCAGCCCCCACAAGCAGCACAUACUGGUUCCAGGAUGAGCCACCGCCACAGCCCUCCCUGUCAGACAAGCACCCAAGGGCGGAGGAGGCAUGGCCCAAGAAGAAGGGCGUGUAGAGGAGGAGGGAGAAAUGGCAGGUGGCCUCAGGCUCAGCACUGCAGCUCUGACAGGGCCCCUCAGGCAGGGAAGCCUUGUAUGAAGAAACUCAGACAGGUGGUAAAUGUGGGACCUGGACCCCACUUCCUGGAGACAGAUCCUGUCCUUCCAAGGUGAGGGCCAACCUGGCCACAGGGGCUUUUCCCCUGAGAUUUCUUCAGCGCCUUUGCCUGGGCCUUUGCCUUUCUGCCACUUUCCCGCCAUUUUCCACUUACUCCAUCCAAACUGCACCAAAAAUCGUGUUCUCCUUAGUCCACACACAACAGGUGGGAAGUUUUUGAAAUGAAAUUUAUACCAAAAAAUUAGGGCAAGAUGAGAUUUUUUAAUAUUUAAAAGGUAUUUUUAUAUGUAAGAAUUUUCCGAGUACAGAUUUCUUAUCUGGAGCUCAUGGUUCAUUUGACACGGUUUUCAGCUCCUGGUCUAUUUCCUCUUCCAAGCUCUCUGCCAUGCCGUGUACCCUGAGGCCUGAGGCACAGGACCCUCCCAGGGAAGGCCUAGGGGCCUCGGCUCAGGACCCGACAGCAUCACUCCCACCCCUCACCACCACACACACAGGAUGGGGAACUGCUACUUCUCUCCAGCCUGUGAGCCUGGAUAGCUAUUUUGUGACCCAGCUCCUGCUCAGUCUCAUUGCUGUCCCCGGUCUCUCCAGGGAGUAAGGGAUUCUCCAUCUGUGGUAAGUUACCUGUGACUCUUCAGCAGUUUCCUCUGAGCAUAAUUAUAUCUGAGAGCACAGGGGGCUCCUCAUUCCGUAUAUUUUUCAAAUAUUCAAGAUGUACAACGUGAUGAUUUGCUAUAAGUAUUGUGAAAUGUUCGCCACAGUCAAGCUUGUUGACAUACCCACCAGCUCACAUUGACUGUUUUCGUGCGUGUGUGGUGAGAAUACUCACGAUCUCCUCUCUGAGCCAAUUGCAAGUAUAUGUUAUUAGUAACUGUA